ACUGAAGCUCGUAGCCGUCUUCGGGCGUGACGGGCGGCUGGUAUCCUCCUUUGGGGGGUGUAUGUCGCAGAGUGGGCCGGCGUUCCGCGUCGCGAAUCCCCACGGACUGCGUACGGACCACCCCCUGGGCAACUCAGUGGAGGCAAUUGGAAGGCCCGUGCGAGUCCCUCUGGCUUCGGCCUUGGGAGUUUCSUGGGCCAGGCGCAUCGGUUUCGGCCGGGCGCCAGACUUCUUAACUCACCCUGACCACCUCCUCGGAGGUUUUCCGGGGCCGUCGUCCUUCGGGGCGGAGGCCUUCCCGGUCAAGAUAGUUACCUGGUUGAUUCUGCCAGUA
rnacentral:misc_RNA from 1 species